UAGGGUCCGUGCCAGGCGACGUCUGCGCGAGUGUGGAUUUGGGGGCGUCUUCACCUGGAGCAGCUGCAGGAUUCCGCAGAGGAGCGCCUCUGUACAGUACAGCUCAGAGGGCGCAUUUCUGCGGGGGGCCCUAGGCCUUCAGCCCUGCCUCUUUCCCUUGCCAAUCACUUUCCCCAACACCAGGUUCACCCCCGACCCGCACCCUCACGCGCCCCGGGAGGGAGCAGGUCGGAGGGAAAAGCUUGGGAACUGGCUCGAUGGGGUCUGAGUAGGGCCCCUCCGUCUAGGCGUCCGCUCGCCACUCUCCCGCUGAUGGUGCCGACAGGAGGGCCGUGCUCCUUGGCCCUUCCUCUCUCCGGCUUGUCGCCGCCCGCCGCCCCCUCUAGAGCGGAGCUCGACGCGGGUCCGGAAUGCCCCGCGCGCGCUCCCGCAGCCGCGCUUUGUCCCGUGGGUGACCGCCGGAUGCCUCCAAGGGCUGGCAGAGCUGUCCGCGUGCGACUUUCGCUCUGGUUGGAUUUCCCCUUCCUUCGCAGCCCUGCCGGCCUCAAAGCAUGGUUUGGGCAGCCCAGCCCAGAUUUCCUGGAUAGAGAGACUCAUGAGGAGGAGCGUCAUCUCUGGCCACGGGAAACUGAGGGCUAUCUGAAACCAUCAGGCAUAAAACUCUUCCCCAGUUGUCUGGGCUGUACAGAAAAAUGCUCUAGUUUUUGUUUUCCUCCUGCAGCUCUGAUUUGGUGGAGUGGCAGUGGCUGCUCUUAGCAUGAAUGUGGGAGGAGAUUGUGCAGGGCCAGAGCCCUAUAUUUGGCUUCUGGGGUGGGAAAAGAGAUGAAAAUGGAGAUAUUAAUCAUAUAACUCCAUGUAACCAAUCAAAAAAUUUAUCAUAAAGUUUAUCUUAAAGUUCAUCUCCUUGAGCCAAGAAAUUAGAGUUGGGGCGGGCAGUUGCCCUUCUUAACCUCAAUGUGAGGCUCCCUGGCUGGGGCAUGUCUCCUCUGAUGCCAGUUUUCCCAGCCCAGUCCCCUUCUUCCUUGAAAUAGCAUUUCCCCACCAACCCACGACACACACAUAGACUUCUUUCUUGCUCCCAUGCACACACACACACACACACACACACACACACACCCCACAUGAACAGCAGAGUAUUCCUUCUUCCCCAGGGAAGAAGUGCUAAAGAAACUCUAGUCUCAUUAUAAGCUCAGGACAUUGCUGGGGUAGUGUCAGAUGCCUGGACUUUAACAUUUUUUUUGAUCUGUCUGGUCAUCCAGGCUACAAGGGUAAGACCGCAGCAUCCGCUGAAACACCUCCACUGGGAGAUCUUUCCCCUUGUUAGUAGAUCCUCUUGGCUCAGACCCAUUGACUUUUUUCUGUUUGUGACUCACUCCCAGCAGAGUGGGUGUGCUGCUUUUAUUUUUGACCAAGGGGAAGGAUUAUGACAGUGAGUUUAGAGUGUGUGGUCAGGGUGUGAGAUCACUUCAGAGGUGGUCCCAGAGCGUGCUGGUUUUCCCAUUGGGUGAGUUGUUUAACUGCUGCCGCCCAGCCUCCCUCCCCAAGUUCCCUAGUAAGAAGGAAAACGGAAGGACAGAACAUGGCCUGACUUCCUGAAGGGGACAUUUUUGGUUUUGUUUGACUUUGAGGCGUCUGAAGUCGCCUGAAAUCCCCGAAGCUUUCAGGGAACUCCCAGGGAUUCUGACAGUUGCACAACUGUCUACAUGGAAUCACUGUAAGAGUCAGGACAAGUUAGGUUAUGCUGUAGUAAUAAGCUCCACAGCUGAGUGCCCUGAAAUAACAGACUCCUUUCUCGCUCACAUUACAUGCCUUUUGCAGGUUGGCAGGUGCUCUCUUCUCAUCAGACUCACCAUGUCUAAUAUUGCCAGUCACUGUGCCAAAGGGAGAUUGAGAGAGCCUGGAGGAUCCCACAUCAGCAUUUAAAAGCUCCAGUCACUUUUGCUCACAGCUUAUUGGCCAGAACUAGUCAUAUGACCCCACUCUACAAACAGGAGCAGAUGUAAAAUUCUACCUUGUGCUCAGAAGGGGAAAGGGCUGGAAAUAUUUGGCAAUCAGCGCUAAUGGCCAGUGCAAUCUUCAAGGGCAUAGAGCAGUUAUUCAUUCAUUUAAUGAGUAAUUCUCUGAUAUCCACUAUGUAUCAAGCACUGUUCUAGGCACUAAAGGUACAACAGUGAAAUGGAUAUGUUCAUGAAGCUUGCAUUUAGUGAAAGAGCCAGACAAUAAACAGACACAAGAGUAAUAUGA